AUGGAAGGCGCCCCUUCCUUCUGCUUUGCUCAGGAACUAGGGCGGCCCAGGGAGCUGCCCGCAUUGUCACCUCCUGUCCCUGAGCUGGCCUCGGAAGGUGUCCGAUACUUGCUGACUGUCGAAGUACAAGCCGGGCCUCCUGGACACAGCCGGCAAUGGCCCAUCCUCCCAGGCUGCCUCCUGGGCCAGCGGUCCACAGCGCGUCACUGUGACCGGUCCACUUGGGGGUCCAGAGCAGGACAAGGGGACGUUGGGAAGCUCGUGGGGAAAGCUCCUGUAAUUCCAUUUUCCACGAGCUUUGAGAAGUGCCCUCCUCCGAUUCAGGGCCGGAAGCCAAGCAGUCUACAUUCACACGUCUCACAUCUCUACACACCACGUGCGCACCGGCACGCACACGCACGCACACGUGCUGAGCUCCGUUGCCUGGCGACUGGUUCACACCGUGGAGUCAGGCCUGGGACGGUUGCACCUGUACGGACCCUGACCCCGGCCAGGUACCCUGAGUGCUGUCCACGUGGCUUAAAGCAGCCUUCACGUAAAAAGGGCCGUGAGCACCCCUGGAUCCUGGCUUCCAGCGGGCCCAUGGCAUCGGGUCCCUGCAGGCUCUCUGGAAACGGUGACUCGCUCUCCGCCUCCGACCCCGAGGGCAGCAGAGGAAGCGGAAGCUGGCGUCUGGCCGGGCAGUGCCUCCCCAGGACGAUUUCCAGGAUGCGGCUGCACACAGACCCAGCGCACGCUGCGGGGCACGGGAUUCCUGCGAGGCGCAGGCGUUCGUCACACUGCCCAGGUUCCACUGCGACACCCACAUCGCCCGUCGGAGGGCUCGGCUUGCAGUCCCAGCUCUGUCUGCACUCCGGCUUCCUGCUAACUGGCACCCGGGGAGGCAGCGGUGGUGGCUCUAGGGGUUGCGCCCCUGCCACCCACGUGGGAGACCUGGACGGAGUUCCCGGCUCCAGGGUUUGGCCUGGCCCAGCCCCGACGGUUGCUGUGUCGCAGCCGCAGUGUCCGCCUGGCCGGGCCGCCCGGAACCCCUGCUCGGCUGCUCCUGGCUGUGCUGGGCAGGGUCGUCCUCCACACUCCCCACCCAGGGUUCUCCACACUCCUCACCCAGGCUCCUGACCCACGCGGCCCAGGAAGGGAGAACCUGGAGGGGAAGGCCCCUCCCGCCGCCUCCACCUUGCAUCUCUGAACGCUGUGGGUUCCUAAGCCGGCCGGCCGGAGGAUGGGCUGACUUCCUGCCCCAGCCCCUCUGGCCAGGAACGCGCCCACGGGGGUAGCGGCUUCAUUUGGAGGUUUGUUCAUUUCCGUUCCAGAGGCUGGAAGUCCAAGGCCAGUGUGGGUGGGGCUGGUGGCCCUCAGAUUCCAGGGCACGUCCUUCCUGCCCUGGCUGUGCCCACCUCGGCCACAUCCUGCAGCCUCCACCCUGAGGUCGUGGCUCCGCCUCCUCUAGCUCCAGUCUCCGCCUCUGAGGUCAUAUGGCUCCGCCUCCUCUGUAGUCAGCCACCCCAGCCGCCCUGUUGCUGGACCCUGCGGCAGUGCUAGGGCCCUGGGCUACUGAACUGAAGACGACCCCCCCACCUCGAGACCCUUCCCUGAGGUCACACCAGGGCCCUGCCUCCUGCUGGGUCCUCUCUCCCCCACCCAGGACAUCCCACACACCUGGCUUUACCUCAGGCGGGAGUGGGGGUCCCCCAUGGUCUCGGGCCUGUGUCAGGCCCACCAUCUUGGCUGGGAGGGAAAGGGCAGCUCUGGGGCAGGAACAGUGGUGUCCCCGUCCCACUCACCCCUGCUCAGAGGGGUGGCGGCCUCUCUGCCCCACGAUGAGCCAUCCACAGGUCGCAGUCCCUGUGGCUGUGGCCAUCAGCCAGCGUCCCCGGGGCGCCCUUGGGUGCUGGGCGGUCAGGGUGGGGUGCAGCCA
rnacentral:lncRNA from 1 species